rnacentral:rRNA from 1 species
UGGGGAAUAUUGCACAAUGGAGGGAACUCUGAUGCAGCGACGCCGCGUGAGUGAAGAAGUAUUUCGGUAUGUAAAGCUCUAUCAGUAGGGAAGAUAAUGACGGUACCUACAUAAGAAGCCCCGGCUAAAUACGUGCCAGCAGCCGCGGUAAUACGUAUGGGGCAAGCGUUAUCCGGAUUUACUGGGUGUAAAGGGAGCGUAGGCGGCAGUACAAGUCGGGAGUGAAAACUCGGGGCUCAACCCCGAGACUGCUCUCGAAACUGUACAGCUAGAGUGCAGGAAGGGCAGGCGGAAUUCCUGGUGUAGCGAUGAAAUGCGUAGAUAUCAGGAGGAACACCGGUGGCGAAGGCGGCCUGCUGGACUGUAACUGACGCUGAGGCUCGAAAGCGUGGGGAGCGAACAGG